AGAGGAGGGAAUGGGCAGAGUGGGUGGGCUCUCUGAUUGACGUCUCUCACAGCCAAUCCAAAUAUUUCUGGAGUAACAUGAGUUUCCUGAAGCUUGGGAAACUGACCGGUGAAAUGGAGGCGACUUUGAGCAGCAGAUCAGAAGAAGAGAGCACAGAAGUGCAGCGAGAAGUAGAGAACUGGCAGGGCGAGUUCUGCAGUGACAGGCACCUUGACGACACAGUCCCUACAGGAAGUGAACCAGCUGUGGAAGAGGAAGAGGAGAGAAUGAGCAGAGUGGGUGGGCUCUCUGAUUGACAUCUCUCACAGCCAAUCCAAAUAUUUCUGGAGCAACAUGAGUUUCCUGAAGUUUGGGAACCUGACCAGUGAAACAGAGGCGACUUUGAGCAGCAGAUCAGGUGGGGAUUUAAACUUGUCAUUGUCCCAUCUGAAUAAAACCUCACUUAUUGCAGCUGCUGUCUCAGUUCGCCCUGGUAAACGUUUGACAGAGAUUUAUAGUGUGGAAAUAGCAUUCUUUAUCCUUGGAGGCUUUCAAACUGACAACAUCAGUGUGGGAUGUGU